rnacentral:rRNA from 1 species
GACGAACGCUGGCGGCGUGCUUAACACAUGCAAGUCGACCGGAAAGGCCCUGCUUUUGUGGGGUGCUCGAGUGGCGAACGGGUGAGUAACACGUGAGUAACCUGCCCUUGACUUUGGGAUAACUUCAGGAAGCUGGGGCUAAUACCGGAUAGGAGCUCCUGCUGCAUGGUGGGGGUUGGAAAGUUUCGGCGGUUGGGGAUGGACUCGCGGCUUAUCAGCUUGUUGGUGGGGUAGUGGCUUACCAAGGCUUUGACGGGUAGCCGGCCUGAGAGGGUGACCGGCCACAUUGGGACUGAGAUACGGCCCAGACUCCUACGGGAGGCAGCAGUGGGGAAUAUUGCACAAUGGGCGGAAGCCUGAUGCAGCAACGCCGCGUGCGGGAUGACGGCCUUCGGGUUGUAAACCGCUUUCGCCUGUGACGAAGCGUGAGUGACGGUAAUGGGUAAAGAAGCACCGGCUAACUACGUG